UACGUAGGGUGCAAGCGUUAAUCGGAAUUACUGGGCGUAAAGCGUGCGCAGGCGGUUAUGUAAGACAGUUGUGAAAUCCCCGGGCUCAACCCUGGGAACUGCAUCUGUGACUGCAUAGCUAGAGUACGGUAGAGGGGGAUGGAAUUCCGCGUGUAGCAGUGAAAUGCGUAGAUAUGCGGAGGAACACCGAUGGCGAAGGCAAUCCCCUGGACCUGUACUGACGCUCAUGCACGAAAGCGUGGGGAGCAAACGAGGAUAGAUACCCCUGU
rnacentral:rRNA from 1 species